rnacentral:snRNA from 1 species
UUGAUUGAUUUGGCAGCGUGUGUACUAAAAGUAGAACAAUGCAGAGUAGAUCAUCACAGCCCUUGCUCAAGGAUGGCAUGCAAAUUUAUGAAGCAUUCAAUAUUUUU